ensembl:lncRNA
AUGUCUGUUCAAGUCAACUCAAGUCUGUUCAAGUCAAAUCAAGUCUAUUCAUGCCAACCCAGGUCUGUUCAAGUCAAGUCUGUUCAUGCCAAGUCAAGUCUGUUCAAGUCAACUCAAGUCUGUUCAACUCAACUCAAUUCUGUUCAAGUCAAGUCUGUUCAUGUCAAGUCUGUUCAAGUCAACUCAAGUCUGUUCAAGUCAACUCAAGUCCGUUCAUGUCAAGUCUGUUCAUGCCAAGUCAAGUCUGUUUAUGUCAAGUCUGUUCAAGUCAACCCAAGUCUGUUCAUGUCAAGUCUGUUCAUGCCAAGUCAAGUCUGUUUAUGUCAAGUCUGUUCAAGUCAACCCAAGUCUGUUCAUGUCAAGUCUGUUCAUGUCAAGUCAAGGCUGUUCAUGCCAAGUCAAGUCUGUUCAUGUCAAGUCUGUUCAAGUCAACUCAAGUCUGUUUAUGUCAAGUCUGUUCAAGUCAACCCAAGUCUGUUUUUGUCAAGUCUGUUCAAGUCAACCCAAGUCUGUUCAUGUCAAGUCUGUUCAGGUCAACUCAAGUCUGUUCAUGUCAAGUCUGUUCAAGUCAAGCCAGGUCUGUUCAUGUCAAGUCUGUUCAUGUCAAGUCAAGGCUGUUCAUGUCAAGUCAAGUCUGUUCAUGUCAAGUCUGUUCAUGUCAACUCAAGUCUGUUCAAGUCAACUCAAGUCCGUUCAAGUCAACUCAAGUCUGUUCAAGUCAACUCUAGUCCGGUCAUGUCAAGUCUGUUCAUGCCAAGUCAAGUCUGUUCAAGUCAACUCAAGUCUGUUCAUGUCAAGUCAGUUCAAGUCAACUCAAGUCUGUUCAAGUCAACUGAAGUCUGUUCAAGUCAACUCAAGUCUGUUCAUGUCAAUUCUGUUCAAGUCAACUCAAGUAUGUUCAAGUCAACUCAAGUCCGUUCAUGCCAAGUCUGUUCAAGUCAACUCAAGUCUGUUCAAGUCAAGUCAAGUCUGUUCAUGUCAAGUCUGUUCAAGUCAAGUCAAGUCUGUUCAAGUCAAAUCAAGUCCGUUUAUGUCAAGUCUGUUCAUGUCAAGUCCGUUUAUGUCAAGUCCGGGCUGUUGAAGUCAAGUCAAGUCUGA